ensembl:lncRNA
CAGUUUCACACUUACCAUUUUUUUCCUAAUUUCACGAAACCUUUCAAACUUUCAGGUUGGAAACCAUGGAGAGGACCCUAGUGUGGUCACGGGGAAGGCUGCUUGACAUCUCCUCAGCUGAUCUUAUAAUUCGAGAUGUUCGGGAGAUUAUAGCUGAAGUUCGGAGAUCUGUGCCUACCACUCCGGGACAACAAGGCUACCAGGCACCUCUCAUUUGGACCGGAGGUCGUGGUCCCCCACAGUUAAAAAUAUCACAGGAGCAACUGUGUUUUUUGAGGACCUGUGGUUUCACUGGGAAACAGAUGGCACAGAUUCUGGGUGUCUCUGUUCGUACACUGAGCCGUCGUUUAAGGCAGUUCAACCUGAGGCGCGCUGGGACAUUUUCCACCUGCUCAGAUGCUGCCUUGGAUGACCUCAUCAGGGAGACAGUGGCUGGGAAUGACCGCAUCGGCCCAGAGUCUGUGAG